rnacentral:rRNA from 1 species
GCUAAAUAAGAGCGUAUGGGGAAUGCCUAGGCUCUCAGAGGCGAUGAAGGACGUGAUAAGCUGCGAAAAGCUGCGGGGAUUGGCACAUACAAAUUGAUCCGCAGAUAUCCGAAUGGGGCAACCCAGCAUGUUGAAGACAUGUUAUCCGAAAGGAGGCGAACCCGGAGAACUGAAACAUCUAAGUACCCGGAGGAGAAGAAAACAAAAGUGAUUCCGAUAGUAGCGGCGAGCGAAAUUGGAUUAGCCCAAACCAGUAUUGUUACGGCAAUGCUGGGGUUGUAGGACUGCGAUAUUUGAGCUACAAUGAAUUAGAAUGCUUUGGAAAGAGCAACCAUAGAGGGUGAUAGUCCCGUAUAAGUAAAGCGUAGUAAGAUAGCAGUAUCCUGAGUAGUGCGGGACACGAGUAAUCCUGUGUGAAUCUGUGGGGACCAUCCCAUAAGGCUAAAUACUCCUGAGAGACCGAUAGUGAACUAGUACCGUGAGGGAAAGGUGAAAAGAACCCUGAAUAAGGGAGUGAAAUAGAACCUGAAACCAUACGCUUACAAGCGGUCGGAGCGGAUUUAUCCGUGACGGCGUGCCUUUUGCAUAAUGAGCCUACGAGU